rnacentral:rRNA from 1 species
CGGGAAGUGGCGGAGCUUACACAUGCAGUCGAGCGGAACGAUACCAGCUUGCUGGUAGGCGUCGAGCGGCGGACGGGUGAGUAAUACUUAGGAAUCUACCUAGUAGUGGGGGAUAGCUCGGGGAAACUCGAAUUAAUACCGCAUACGACCUACGGGAGAAAGGGGGCAGUUUACUGCUCUCGCUAUUAGAUGAGCCUAAGUCGGAUUAGCUAGAUGGUGGGGUAAAGGCCUACCAUGGCGACGAUCUGUAGCUGGUCUGAGAGGAUGAUCAGCCACACCGGGACUGAGACACGGCCCGGACUCCUACGGGAGGCAGCAGUGGGGAAUAUUGGACAAUGGGGGAAACCCUGAUCCAGCCAUGCCGCGUGUGUGAAGAAGGCCUUUUGGUUGUAAAGCACUUUAAGCAGUGAAGAAGACUCCUCGGUUAAUACCCGUGGACGAUGACAUUAGCUGCAGAAUAAGCACCGGCUAACUCUGUGCCAGCAGCCGCGGUAAUACAGAGGGUGCAAGCGUUAAUCGGAAUUACUGGGCGUAAAGCGAGCGUAGGUGGCUUGAUAAGUCAGAUGUGAAAUCCCCGGGCUUAACCUGGGAACUGCAUCUGAAACUGUUAGGCUAGAGUAGGUGAGAGGAAGGUAGAAUUCCAGGUGUAGCGAUGAAAUGCGUAGAGAUCUGGAGGAAUACCGAUGGCGAAGGCAGCCUUCUGGCAUCAUACUGACACUGAGGCUCGAAAGCGUGGGUAGCAAACAGGAUUAGAUACCCUGGUAGUCCACGCCGUAAACGAUGUCUACUAGUCGUUGGGUCCCUUGAGGACUUAGUGACGCAGCUAACGCAAUAAGUAGACCGCCUGGGGAGUACGGGCCGCAAGGUUAAAACUCAAAUGAAUUUGACGGGGGCCCGCACAAGCGGUGGAGCAUGUGGUUUAAUUCGAUGCAACGCGAAGACCUUACCUGGUCUUGACAUAUCUAGAAUCCUGCAGAGAUGCGGGAGUGCCUUCGGGAAUUAGAAUACAGGUGCUGCAUGGCUGUCGUCAGCCUCGUGUCGUGAAAAUGUUGGGU